rnacentral:rRNA from 1 species
AGAGUUUGAUCCUGGCUCAGGACGAACGCUGGCGGCGCGCCUAACACAUGCAAGUCGAACGAGCGAGAGAGAGCUUGCUUUCUCGAGCGAGUGGCGAACGGGUGAGUAACGCGUGAGGAACCUGCCUCAAAGAGGGGGACAACAGUUGGAAACGACUGCUAAUACCGCAUAAGCCCACGGGUCGGCAUCGACCAGAGGGAAAAGGAGCAAUCCGCUUUGAGAUGGCCUCGCGUCCGAUUAGCUAGUUGGUGAGGUAACGGCCCACCAAGGCGACGAUCGGUAGCCGGACUGAGAGGUUGAACGGCCACAUUGGGACUGAGACACGGCCCAGACUCCUACGGGAGGCAGCAGUGGGGAAUAUUGCACAAUGGGGGAAACCCUGAUGCAGCGACGCCGCGUGGAGGAAGAAGGUCUUCGGAUUGUAAACUCCUGUUGUUGGGGAAGAUAAUGACGGUACCCAACAAGGAAGUGACGGCUAACUACGUGCCAGCAGCCGCGGUAAAACGUAGGUCACAAGCGUUGUCCGGAAUUACUGGGUGUAAAGGGAGCGCAGGCGGGAAGACAAGUUGGAAGUGAAAUCUAUGGGCUCAACCCAUAAACUGCUUUCAAAACUGUUUUUCUUGAGUAGUGCAGAGGUAGGCGGAAUUCCCGGUGUAGCGGUGGAAUGCGUAGAUAUCGGGAGGAACACCAGUGGCGAAGGCGGCCUACUGGGCACCAACUGACGCUGAGGCUCGAAAGUGUGGGUAGCAAACAGGAUUAGAUACCCUGGUAGUCCACACCGUAAACGAUGAUUACUAGGUGUUGGAGGAUUGACCCCUUCAGUGCCGCAGUUAACACAAUAAGUAAUCCACCUGGGGAGUACGACCGCAAGGUUGAAACUCAAAGGAAUUGACGGGGGCCCGCACAA